AUCUGGUUGGCUCAGUCAGUAGAGCAUGAGAUUCUUAAUCUUAGGGUCAUGAGUUCAAGCCCCAUGUUGGGCA
rnacentral:tRNA from 1 species